rnacentral:rRNA from 1 species
AGAGUUUGAUCCUGGCUCAGGAUGAACGCUAGCGACAGGCUUAACACAUGCAAGUCGAGGGGCAGCAUGGUUUGUAGCAAUACAGAUUGAUGGCGACCGGCGCACGGGUGAGUAACGCGUAUGCAACUUACCUAUCAGAGGGGGAUAGCCCGGCGAAAGUCGGAUUAAUACCCCAUAAAACAGGGGUCCCGCAUGGGAAUAUUUGUUAAAGAUUCAUCGCUGAUAGAUAGGCAUGCGUUCCAUUAGGCAGUUGGCGGGGUAACGGCCCACAAACCGCGAUGGAUAGGGGUUCUGAGAGGAAGGUCCCCCANAUUGGACUGAGACACGGACCAAACUCCUACGGGAGGCA